CCUACGGGUGGCAGCAGUGAGGAAUAUUGGUCAAUGGACGCAAGUCUGAACCAGCCAUGCCGCGUGCAGGAAGACGGCUCUAUGAGUUGUAAACUGCUUUUGUACGAGGGUAAACGCAGAUACGCGUAUCUGUCUGAAAGUAUCGUACGAAUAAGGAUCGGCUAACUCCGUGCCAGCAGCCGCGGUAAUACGGGGGGUGCAAGCGUUGUCCGGAAUCAUUGGGCGUAAAGAGUUCGUAGGCGGCACGUAAAGUCUGGUGUUAAAGGCAGAGGCUCAACUUCUGUACGGCACUGGAUACUUGCGAGCUAGAAUGCGGUAGAGGUAAAGGGAAUUCCUGGUGUAGCGGUGAAAUGCUUAGAUAUCAGGAGGAACAUCGGUGGCGUAAGCGCUUUACUGGGCCGUAAUUGACGCUGAGGAACGAAAGCCAGGGUAGCAAAUGGGAUUAGAUACCCUGGUAGUC
rnacentral:rRNA from 1 species